GUCGAACUCUGGCAUGCUGUGCACGUGUUCCUUUGGUCCAGCCAUGUUUAACCCGGGUGCAAGUGGAUGGAAAGUUCUAGAACAACGAAGUGGCUACAAGAUCACGGGUGUACCCAGUCCCCAAAGAGGCCUGCUUGAAGACAUGGCAGUUGCACAUCUCUGUGUUUCUGUGUGCUGAGAAUUCAUGGCUACCUCAGCUGAGAUUUGAUGCAGUCAUGUGGAUGGCUUAUUUGUGAUAAUGGUCUACUGACGAGAAUCGAAGACACCAGUGGCAUGUCGAGCCCAGUAUGUGCGGAUACAGUCACCUGGAGGGCUUAUUUGUUAUAAUGGUCUACUGAUAGACUUGAAGACCACCAGUGGCAUGUCGCACCCAGUAUGUGCAGAUACAGUCACCUGGAGGGCUUAUUUGUGAUAAUGGUCUACUGACGAGAAUCGAAGACCACCAGUGGCAUGUCGAGCCCAGUAUGUGCAGAUACAGUCACCUGGAGGGCUUAUUUGUGAUAAUGGUCUACUGACGAGAAUCGUACGACAUAGUUGACUCCACCAGGCUGUCUGUAGGAUGCGGCCAUGUCAGUCCCCAGGGGACCUUGAGUCUGGACACCAGUGAAUUGAUGUGGUGGCCACGCCUCCUGUACUGUGACUUCAUCUGAUAUUUGCAAGACUUUGCACAAGUCAAUUUAUAAGACUUGUACUUUCAUAUAUAUUUUUUUUGUGAAUUGCAUGUCAUGCUUUAGAAAAAGCAGUGGAAUAAAACUUGGUUUGUUUGUAAAAUCAAAGGUUGCCUUCUGUUUUUGUUUCACCUGAUAUAUUUAACGUAGCAUUUACUCUUUUUAAAUGUAUGUGGUAUGUUAUGAGGACUUGACCCAUUCUUGAUGGGCGGUCAGCUGAUUACAGAGCAUUAUGAUCUCAUUGUAAGCACGCAGGCCUGGGAAACCUUGCCAUAAGAUUGCAGAGUUAAUCGGCAAACGCUUU
ensembl:lncRNA